rnacentral:rRNA from 1 species
CUAUCAGCUAGUUGGUAAGGUAAUGGCUUACCAAGGCGAUGACGGGUAGCUGAUGUGAGAGCAUGAUCAGCCUCGAUGGGACUGCGACACGGCCCAUACUCCUACGGGAGGCAGCAGUGAAGAAUCUUCCGCAAUGGACGAAAGUCUGACGGAGCAACACCGCGUGGAGGACGACGGCCUUCGGGUUGUAAACUCCUUUUCUGAGGGAACAAGUAUGAGGGUACCUCAGGAAUAAGGCGCUGCUAACUACGUGCCAGCAGCAGCGGUAAUACGUAGGCGCCAAGCGUUAUCCGGAAUUACUGGGCGUAAAGAGUCUGUAGGCGGCGGAUAAAGUCGAGUGUUAAAUUUUCAUGCUCAACGUGAAAAAUGUACUCGAAACUUAUUUGCUUAGAGUCUGAGAGAGGCUACUGGAAUUCCCAUUGAAGGAGUAAAAUCCGUAGAUAAUGGGAGGAACACCAAAAGCGAAGGCAGGUAGCUGGAUCAGGACUGACGCUGAGAGACGAAAGCGUGGGUAGCGAACAGGAUUAGAUACCCUGGUAGUCCACGCCGUAAACGAUGAGUGCUAGGCGUUGGAGAGUCAUUUCGACCCUUUCCAGUGUCUAAAGUUAACACGUUAAGCACUCCGCCUGGGGAGUACGAGCGCAAGCUUAAAACUCAAAGGAAUAGGCGGGGGCCCGCACAAGCGGUGGAGCAUGUGGUUUAAUUCGACAAUAAGCGAGGAACCUCACCUGGGCUUGACAUCUCAAGAAUCCUCUGGAAACAGAGGAGUGCCCGCAAGGGAAUUUGAUGACAGGCGCUGCAUGGUUGUCGUCAGCUCGUGCCCUGAGGUGUUCGGUUAAGUCCGUAAACGAGCGCAACCCUUAUCGUAUGUUGUAUUUNUCAUACGAGACUGCCGGUUUUACACCGGAGGAAGGUGGGGAUGACGUCAAAUCAGCAUGGCCCUUAUGUCCAGGGCGACACACGUGCUACAAUGGGGAGUACAAUGGGUAGCCAAGGCGCAAGCCG